rnacentral:rRNA from 1 species
CUUUAGUGGCGAACGGGUGCGUAAUACGUGAGAAUCUGCCCUUAGGAGAAGAAUAACUGCUGGAAACGGCUGCUAAAUCUUCAUAUGUCGAGAGAUGAAAUAGCUUAGGCUGCCUAAGGAUGAGCUCACGCCUGAUUAGCUAGUUGGUGAGGUAAUGGCUCACCAAGGCCACGAUCAGUAGCUGGUUUGAGAGAACGAUCAGCCACACUGGGACUGAGACACGGCCCAGACUCCUCCGGGAGGCAGCAGUGAGGAAUUUUCCGCAAUGGGCGAAAGCCUGACGGAGCAAUACCGCGUGAGGGAUGAAGGAUUUUGGUCUGUAAACCUCUUUUCUCAAGAAAGAAGUUCUGACGGUACUUGAGGAAUAAGCAUCGGCUAACUCCGUGCCAGCAGCCGCGGUAAUACGGGGGAUGCAAGCGUUAUCCGGAAUCAUUGGGCGUAAAGCGCCUGUAGGUUGUUUAAUAAGUCUGUUGUUAAAGACUAGGGCUUAACCCUAGAAAAGCAAUGGAAACUACUAGACUAGAGUAUGGCA